GCCUGAGCAGCUCAGUCGAUAGAGCAUAGGACUUUUAAUCCAACGGCCCAGGGUUCACUUCCUAGCUCGGGCG
rfam:Glossina palpalis gambiensis isolate 146720 unplaced genomic scaffold Scaffold435, whole genome shotgun sequence.